rnacentral:rRNA from 1 species
UACGUAGGUGGCAAGCGUUGUUCGGAAUUAUUGGGCGUAAAGGGCGCGUAGGCGGUUUGUUAAGUCGGCUGUGAAAGCCCGGGGCUCAACCCCGGAGGGUCAGCCGAUACUGGCAGACUAGAGUACGGAAGAGGUAGCUGGAAUUCCCGGUGUAGCGGUGAAAUGCGUAGAUAUCGUGAGGAACACCUGAGGCGAAGGCGGGCUACUGGGCCGAUACUGACGCUGAUGCGCGAAAGCCAGGGGAGCGAACGGG